CAGAACUGGAGAUGACCACUCUUUCCUGCUGCAUCAGACAAUCAAAUGCUGGACUCUGGGCCUGGCCUAGCAGAGGCAGAGGAGCCGCCAGAUCUGGGCCAAGACAAGGGCCUCCCAGGGACACCAACAGCCCCCAGCAGAGAAAGCUGCUCUCCUUCACCUUUGCAUGCUCUCACGAGAAGUCUCCAUCCGGGUCCUGAGAAUUAUUUGGCCCGUAUGUCCUGCGACCGGGCCACUUACACCCUCAACCAACCUGCCUAA
rnacentral:lncRNA from 1 species